AUUGAACGCUGGCGGCAGGCCUAACACAUGCAAGUCGAGCGGAUGAAGGGAGCUUGCUCCUGGAUUCAGCGGCGGACGGGUGAGUAAUGCCUAGGAAUCUGCCGGGUAGUGGGGGAUAACGUCGGGAAACGGGCGCUAAUACCGCAUACGUCCUGAGGGAGAAAGUGGGGGAUCUUCGGACCUCACGCUAUCAGAUGAGCCUAGGUCGGAUUAGCUAGUUGGUGGGGUAAAGGCCUACCAAGGCGACGAUCCGUAACUGGUCUGAGAGGAUGAUCAGACACACUGGAACUGAGACACGGUCCAGACUCCUACGGGAGGCAGCAGUGGGGAAUAUUGGACAAUGGGCGAAAGCCUGAUCCAGCCAUGCCGCGUGUGUGAAGAAGGUCUUCGGAUUGUAAAGCGCUUUAAGUUGGGAGGAAGGGCAGUAAGUUAAUACCUUGCUGUUUUGACGUUACCAACAGAAUAAGCACCGGCUAACUUCGUG
rnacentral:rRNA from 1 species